GAUUUUCUUCUGUAUAUGCUUUCCCGAAAAAUGAAUCUGAAAUUUUGUUUUGAAUGAGUUUUUUUCUGGAAUUUAAAAUAUUUGUGGGCGAUGAUUAAAAAGAGAGAGGCUUGAGAGGUGAGUGUGAACAAAACUCUCAUGGGAUGGAGGAAAAAAUUCAAAUCGAAAUCGAAGGAGAAAUACAUUUAAUAAAAUGUUUUUUUUUCCCUUUUUUGAUUUAGGGUUCUUUCUUUCAUACCUUUCCCUCGGUGACGGUCCUUCCAAGUUACACUUGAUAUGAGCCCUUCUACUAUACUUUCGUUUAAUUUUUGUGUUGGAUGUGGUGUUCUUACUUCUUACAAUGAUUCCAUGAAAAUGUCGGUUAAUUUGUAAUAACAAAACUCACACAUGUAAUAUCAGAAUCGACUUCUUUAACAAACAAAAAAAAAUAUCAGAAUCAACUUGGCCAUUCUUUGAAGAAUUGAUAACAAACACAAUCGAUUAAUUUUGAGAGAAACAUUAUCAU